rnacentral:rRNA from 1 species
GACGAACGCUGGCGGCGUGCUUAACACAUGCAAGUCGAACGGAAAGUGCCCAGCUUGCUGGGUGACUCGAGUGGCGAACGGGUGAGUAACACGUGGGUGAUCUGCCCUGCACUUUGGGAUAAGCCUGGGAAACUGGGUCUAAUACCGAAUAUUCCUCAUGGGGCGCAUGUUUUGUGGGGGAAAGCUUUUGGGGUGUGGGAUGGGCCCGCGGCCUAUCAGCUUGUUGGUGGGGUGAUGGCCUACCAAGGCGACGACGGGUAGCCGGCCUGAGAGGGUGUCCGGCCACACUGGGACUGAGAUACGGCCCAGACUCCUACGGGAGGCAGCAGUGGGGAAUAUUGCACAAUGGGCGCAAGCCUGAUGCAGCGACGCCGCGUGGGGGAUGACGGCCUUCGGGUUGUAAACCUCUUUCAACGCCGACGAAGGGUGACUGACGGUAGGCGUAGAAGAAGCACCGGCCAACUACGUGCCAGCAGCCGCCGCAGUAAAAC